UUUAAGUGUAACCAUGAGUUUACAUGUCCAACUUUGAUCGUCCGUCUUAUUUGAAAUUUUUUAUAAUUAGUAUUUGUGUUGUUAUGAGAUGAUAAAACAUGAAUAGUAUUACUUGUGACUUAUGUUUUUAUAUUUUUUUAAAAAAAAUUUAAAUAAGACAGAUGAUUAAAGUUAGGCGCGUAAAAUCAUGGCUGUAAUAAGA
rfam:Oryza sativa Japonica Group DNA, chromosome 5, cultivar: Nipponbare, complete sequence.